rfam:Gossypium arboreum cultivar AKA8401 contig_30169_3, whole genome shotgun sequence.
UUUUAAAAAUUUUAUUCAUUUCGACUAUUAAAAACUAGCAUGGUUAACGGAACAACUAGAUAGUUACACAUGGCGUGCCGUGCGUACCUCAUUUAAGCUUACAGAGACCAAUUUUUAACAAUAGAAAUGAACGGAACUUUUAACA